rnacentral:tRNA from 1 species
GGGCAACACCCUGUUAGCUCAGUGGUCGAGCGUUGGCUUUGGAAGCCUCAGGUCGGUGGUUCAAUUCCGCCCGGGCGCA